rnacentral:rRNA from 1 species
GACGAACCGUACGAACGUUAUUCGGAAUUACUGGGCUUAAAGGGUGCGUAGGCUGCGCAGUAAGUUGGGUGUGAAAUCCCUCGGCUCAACCGAGGAACUGCGCCCAAAACUGUCGUGCUCGAGGGAGACAGAGGUGAGCGGAACUUAGGGUGGAGCGGUGAAAUGCGUUGAUAUCCUAAGGAACACCGGUGGCGAAAGCGGCUCACUGGGUCUCUUCUGACGCUGAGGCACGAAAGCUAGGGUAGCGAACGGG